CCUACGGGCGGCAGCAGUGAGGAAUAUUGGUCAAUGGACGAGAGUCUGAACCAGCCAAGUAGCGUGAAGGAUGACUGCCCUAUGGGUUGUAAACUUCUUUUAUAUGGGAAUAAAAUGUUCCACGUGUGGGAUUUUGUAUGUACCAUAUGAAUAAGGAUCGGCUAACUCCGUGCCAGCAGCCGCGGUAAUACGGAGGAUCCGAGCGUUAUCCGGAUUUAUUGGGUUUAAAGGGAGCGUAGGUGGUUUGUUAAGUCAGUUGUGAAAGUUUGCGGCUCAACCGUAAAAUUGCAGUUGAAACUGGCAGUCUUGAGUACAGUAGAGGUGGGCGGAAUUCGUGGUGUAGCGGUGAAAUGCUUAGAUAUCACGAAGAACUCCGAUUGCGAAGGCAGUUCACUGGACUGCAACUGACAUUGAUGCUCGAAAGUGUGGGUAUCAAACAGGAUUAGAUACCCCUGUAGUC
rnacentral:rRNA from 1 species